rnacentral:misc_RNA from 1 species
UUUCCGUAGGUGAACCUGCGGAAGGAUCAUUAUUGUAUAACCGAGGUACGUGGUCUGUCUCUGACCCGAUAGAUCGUGCACUCCCGAGUGCCCUCACCCACAUCCAUCUCACCCCUAUGUGCACCACCGCGUGGGUCCCCCUUUGGCUCGUUCGGAGGGGGGCUUACGUUUUCACACAAACUUUGUAUGCAGUCUAGAAUGUAUUUUUUGUUUUUACGAUCACGCAAUAAAUACAACUUUCAACAACGGAUCUCUUGGCUCUC